UGGGGAAUAUUGGACAAUGGGCGAAAGCCUGAUCCAGCCAUGCCGCGUGUGUGAAGAAGGUCUUCGGAUUGUAAAGCACUUUAAGUUGGGAGGAAGGGCAGUAAGCGAAUACCUUGCUGUUUUGACGUUACCGACAGAAUAAGCACCGGCUAACUCUGUGCCAGCAGCCGCGGUAAUACAGAGGGUGCAAGCGUUAAUCGGAAUUACUGGGCGUAAAGCGCGCGUAGGUGGUUCGUUAAGUUGAAUGUGAAAGCCCCGGGCUCAACCUGGGAGCUGCAUCCAAAACUGGCGGGCUAGAGUAGGGCAGAGGGUGGUGGAAUUUCCUGUGUAGCGGUGAAAUGCGUAGAUAUAGGAAGGAACACCAGUGGCGAAGGCGACCACCUGGGCUCAUACUGACACUGAGGUGCGAAAGCGUGGGGAGCAAACAGG
rnacentral:rRNA from 1 species